AUUGAACGCUGGCGGCAUGCCUUACACAUGCAAGUCGAACGGUAACAGGUCUUCGGAUGCUGACGAGUGGCGAACGGGUGAGUAAUACAUCGGAACGUGCCCGAUCGUGGGGGAUAACGGAGCGAAAGCUUUGCUAAUACCGCAUACGAUCUACGGAGGAAAGCAGGGGACCGCAAGGCCUUGCGCGGACGGAGCGGCCGAUGGCAGAUUAGGUAGUUGGUGGGAUAAAAGCUUACCAAGCCGACGAUCUGUAGCUGGUCUGAGAGGACGACCAGCCACACUGGGACUGAGACACGGCCCAGACUCCUACGGGAGGCAGCAGUGGGGAAUUUUGGACAAUGGGCGAAAGCCUGAUCCAGCCAUGCCGCGUGCAGGAUGAAGGCCUUCGGGUUGUAAACUGCUUUUGUACGGAACGAAAAGACUCUUUCUAAUAAAGAGGGUCCAUGACGGUACCGUAAGAAUAAGCACCGGCUAACUACGUG
rnacentral:rRNA from 1 species